rnacentral:rRNA from 1 species
UCAAGCUACAAAGAGCGCAAGGGGAAUGCCUUGGCACUGGGAGCCGACGAAGGACGUAGCGAUCUACGAUAAGCCACGGUGAGCCGAAAGCAGGCAUCGACCCGUGGAUUUCCGAAUGGGGCAACCUGGCUGAAUAGAACUCAGUCAACAUACGGUGAAUAAAAUAGUCGUAUGUAGGGAACCGCCUGAACUGAAACAUCUAAGUAGGGCGAGGAAAAGAAAUCAACCGAGAUUCCGCAAGUAGUGGCGAGCGAACGCGGAAGAGGCCAAACCGAGAGUAGUAAUACUUUCGGGGUUCGGACAGCGGACGGUAUGCUGAAGGUUAGCAGAAGGACAUGGGACGGUCCACCAAAGAGAGUGAGAGUCUCGUAUGCGAAAACUGAAAGCAGCCAGCUGAAUCCAGAGUACCGCCGGACACGUGAAACCCGGUGGGAAUAUGGGGGGACCAUCCUCCAAGCCUAAAUACUACCCAGUGACCGAUAGCGUAUAGUACUGUGAAGGAAAGGUGAAAAGAACCCCGGGAGGGGAGUGAAAAGAACCUGAAACCUUGUGCUUACAAGCACACAAAGCACGUCAACGUGUGAUGUGGUACCUUUUGUAGAAUGGUCCGGCGAGUGAAUGUAACUGGCGAGGUUAAGUUCUUAAGGAACGGAGCCGAAGCGAAAGCAAGUCUGAAUAGGGCGUCUUAGUCAGUUGUAUUCGACCCGAAACCGGGUGACCUAUCCAUGUCCAGGAUGAAGUUAAGGUAAAACUUGAUGGAGGUCCGAACCCACGGUCGUUGAAAUGCCCGGGGAUGAGAUGUGGAUAGCGGAGAAAUUCCAAUCGAACCCGGAUAUAGCUGGUUCUCUCCGAAAUAGCUUUAGGGCUAGCCUCGACUGAACAUUACCGGAGGUAGAGCACUGAAUGGGCUAGGGGCCGAGAGGUUACUGAACCCUAUCAAACUUCAAAUGCCGGAAAAUGAUAGUCGGGAGUCAGACUGCGUGAGAUAAGUUUCGUAGUCGAAAGGGAAACAGCCCAGACCCACAGCUAAGGUCCCAAAGUACGGUUAAGUGGAAAAGGAUGUGGAGUUGCACAGACAACCAGGAUGUUGGCUUAGAAGCAGCCACUCAUUAAAAGAGUGCGUAAUAGCUCACUGGUCGAGUGACUCUGCGCCGAAAAUUUAACGGGGCUAAAUCGUACACCGAAGCUUGGGAUGUAUCUAUGAUACAUGGUAGGAGAGCGUUGAAUGCGGGGUGAAGUCAGAGCGAAAGCGCUGGUGGACUGCAUUGAAGUGAGAAUGCCGGAAUGAGUAGCGAGAUUUAUGUGAGAAUCAUAAAGGCCGAAAGACUAAGGUUUCAGAAGGAAGGUUCGUCCGCUUCUGGUUAGCCGGGAGCUAAGGUGAGGCCGAAAGGCGUAGCCGAUGCACAUACGGUGGAGAUUCCGUAGCCGUCGAAAUAUUUAAGCAAAGGGACACUUAUGAAGGACAUGACCCGGGCGAUGGUAGCCCCGGGCGUAAGGGACUGAAAACAAGUAAGGAAGCAUGUUUGGAUUAAGGCGAGAAAAGCUUUGUGUAUAUAUCAGACGUCCGUACCGCAAACCGACACAGGUAGUCAGGAAGAGGAUUCUAAGGCCAACGGGAGAAGGGUAGUUAAGGAACUCGGCAAAUUGACCCCGUAACUUCGGGAUAAGGGGCGGUGCGUAAGCACCCGCAGUGAAUAGGUCCAGGCGACUGUUUAUCAAAAACACAGCUCUCUGCUAAAUCGAAAGAUGACGUAUAGGGGGUGACACCUGCCCGGUGCUGGAAGGUUAAGAGGAGGAGUGCAAGCUCCGAAUUGAAGCCCCAGUAAACGGCGGCCGUAACUAUAACGGUCCUAAGGUAGCGAAAUUCCUUGUCGGGUAAGUUCCGACCCGCACGAAUGGUGUAACGAUCUGGACGCUGUCUCAACUGCCCACCCGGCGAAAUUGUAGUACCGGUGAAGAUGCCGGUUACCCGCGGCAAGACGGAAAGACCCCAUGGAGCUUUACUGUAACUUGAUAUUGGGUCUUGGUAUUCUAUGUACAGGAUAGGCGGGAGACUAUGAAACAUACACGCCAGUGUAUGCGGAGUCACCCUUGGGAUACCGCUCUUAGAGUACUGAGAUUCUAACCUGCGGCCGUGAAUCCGGUCGGGGGACAUUGUCAGGUGGGCAGUUUGACUGGGGCGGUCGCCUCCUAAAAGGUAACGGAGGCGCUCAAAGGUUAGCUCAGCACGGUCGGAAACCGUGCCUCUGAGUGCAAACGCAAAAGCUAGCCUAACUGCGAGGCUGACGGGCCGAGCAGUAACGAAAGUUGGAGUUAGUGAUCCGGCGGUAUGUGAAUGGAAAUGCCGUCGCUCAACGGAUAAAAGCUACCCUGGGGAUAACAGGCUGAUCUCCCCCAAGAGUCCACAUCGACGGGGAGGUUUGGCACCUCGAUGUCGGCUCAUCACAUCCUGGGGCUGAAUUCGGUCCCAAGGGUUCGGCUGUUCGCCGAUUAAAGUGGUACGCGAGCUGGGUUCAGAACGUCGUGAGACAGUUCGGUCCCUAUCUGUCGUGGGCGCAGGAUAUUUGAGGAGUGCUGUCCUUAGUACGAGAGGACCGGGAUGGACGCACCUCUGGUGCACCAGUUGUCACGCCAGUGGCACAGCUGGGCAGCUAUGUGCGGAACGGAUAAACGCUGAAAGCAUCUAAGCGUGAAGCCGCCUCCAAGAUAAGAUAUCCCAUAGCAUAAGCUAGUAAGACCCCUCAUGGACUAAGAGGUUGAUAGGCUGCAUGUGUAAGCGUGGUGACACGUUUAGCUUGGCAGUACUAAUAGGUCGAGGGCUUGACUU